AGUCACUGACAUUAGAUACCCGGGUAGUCCAGGGUGUAAACGCUGCAGACUUGGUGUUGGAAGCCCUUUGGGGGCAUUCAGUGCCGGAGAGAAGUUGUUAAGUCUGCUACUUGGGGAGUACGUCCGCAAGGAUGAAGCUUAAAGGAAUUGGCGGGGGAGCACCGCAACGGGAGGAGCGUGCGGUUUAAUUGGAUUCAACACCGUAAAACUCACCAGGGAAGACUGUUACAUGAAAGCCGAGAUGAAGACUCUGCUAGAUUUUCAG
rnacentral:rRNA from 1 species